rnacentral:misc_RNA from 1 species
UACAGAGAGUGCAAACGUUGUUCGGAAUCACUGGGCUUAAAGCGCGCGUAGGCGGCACUGUAAGUGUCGGGUGAAAUCCCACGGCUCACCCGUGGAAUUGCCCGGCAGACUGCAGUGCUAGAGUGUGGUAGGGGAGAGCGGAACUCCUGGUGGAGCGGUGAAAUGCGUAGAUAUCAGGAGGAACACCGGUGGCGAAGGCGGCUCUCUGGUCCAUGACUGACGCUGAGGUGCGAAAGCUAGGGUAGCGAACGGG